UUAAGAUGGGACAUUCGUUCUUAUCCUCCUGCAUCUGGUGUGGCUCUCUUCACAUGCCCCAUCCAGCUCUAUCCUGUGUGUUGUAUGAUUCUGCACAUCUUUACAGCUGAAUAACACCAAAGCAUGUUCAUCCACUCACCCACCGCUGAGCACCUGUGCUGAUGGGGCAUCUGUGAACAUGGCCUCGAUAAACACAGGUGUGCGAGAGUCUCUUCAUUCAUAGCAUUUUUGCCUUUAGCACUGCCAUGCUUUCUGUUUUGUUUUUUAAUGGAAGAAUGAGCAAGAGAAAAUUUAGGAAAGCGCAACUGAGCUCUUGAGAAAUCAAACUCCAAAAAUGGAGUGUUGAGCUUUUUACUUACACGUGUGAUAUGCUGGCGGGGAAGCCAGGAUUUAAGGAAGCCAGCUCUAACACACCGUCCUCUCCUCUUGAUGAGUCAAGGCUCAGUGCCUAGAAACUGAAUCAGCAUUAUGGGAAAGAAACCUGUCCUGGCUUGUCUUGCUUUGACCAAAUAAACACGUUUGGAACAACAUAUUAAAGUCUUCCAGUCACUGGGGCCUAUGAAGGGAAUCUUGAGAUCGUGGCCAUGUUUUCAUCUCUCUCUUUAUCCCUAGCCAACUUAAGGCACACAACCUCUUUUUUUAAAAGAUUUCUUUUUACUUAUGUGUGCUCCUCAUGUAGACAUGUGUCUGUGGAGGCCAGAAGAGGGUGACAGACCCCUUAGAAUUGGAGUUAGAGGUGGGUGCUGGGGACUGAACACAGGUCCCCUGCAAGAGCAGCAAAUUCCCUCACCCACUGACCCAUUUCCCAGGCAGUCAUUCCCAGUUUGACACCAACUGCCCUGAGCAAUGAGGCCAGUCUGUCACAGACUGAAACCUCCACAGCUUUGAGUGUCUCAGUCUCUUCUGUUUCAGUGAAGAGACACCAUGACCGAGGCAUCUCAUAAAAGAACUCAUGCAAUUGGAGACUUGCUUACAGUUUCAGAGGUUUAGUUCGUGACCAGUGCUACAGGAAGCAUGGCAGCAGGCAGAGUGGUGUGGUCCGGAAGCGGUAGCUGAGAGCUCACUUGGUCCUCAAAGUGCAGGUAGAGGGAGCCUGAGGCUAGACCUGGUGUGGGCUUUUGACACCACAAAGCCCCCGCCUUGUGACACAUCUCCUCCAACAAGGCCACACCUGCUCCAACCAGACCAUACCUCCUGCUCCUUCUUAAACAGUUCACCACUGGGGACUAACCUUUCAAGCACAUGAGCUUAUGGAGGCCAUUCUCCUUCAGCCCACCACAGGGAACCAAAGUACAAUUCCUACAAGCUGAAUAUCUCAGGGAAGUUGUGGAUCAGCAAGACCAAAAGACCAAUACACACUCAGCAGACGGGAUGCAGUGCUGAAGCAGGUCCUCAGUUGCACUGUGCUCUCCUGCACUGGACCCCUCCAUCUGGAACUAGAGGCUCCUCCAUUUUGGAAGUCAAAGAGGAGGCCCUAAGAGUGGCAGGCAACCAGCCAUGGCUUGCUGGCUGAGUUUCCAAAGUUGGUGAAUAAAGGGAUGUUUGCAGAUGACAGUUGUCCCAUCCUAGAAUGGAUUCUGACUAACGAGGCACCAAGACACUACACAGUCCCCCAAUAUCGGCCUUGAUUUAAUUAAUGAUCAUAAAUAUGAAUACUAGUCUCUCUGGGUUGAAGAUGGUUCAUAACUUCAUUGUUCCACUGUUUUCCUAUAUUACUUGAAUUGUGAGAAUACAUGUUGUUAGCAACACCCCUCCCAUUUAUUUAGUGGGGGAGAGGGUCAUGUAGCCUGUAUAUGGAGGUCAGAGGACAUUUUACAGGAGUCCCUGCUCCCUUUUCACCUUUAUGUGGGUCCCAGGGAUCGAACUCAGGUCUUUGAGCUUGAGCUUGGUGAUCAAGUUCAUAUGAAGAAAGCCCUCACAUUGACAGCUGACUUUUCAAUAGAAAUUUUAAAAAAACCAGAGGGACUUAGAGAGAUGUGUUUCCAAUACUCAAAACGAUCAUAACUGCUAACCGUGUCUGUUGCAUCCAAGCGCAGCUAUGUGUGUGAGCAAGACCUGCAUCUGGGCGUUUUGUGCUGUCUGUUGGAGGCUUCAGACUCUGUGGGGGAAGACACAGAGAGAAAAUGUGGGAUUCAGGUGGUGCUGUGAGUUUGUGAUGGUGGCCACACCCCGAAUGUAUGGUAAAACUGCCUCCUUGGUGACUGCUUCCCCCCUGGCCUCUUUAGAAGACAGAGGGGUCAAGCAUCCAUCUUGCCUUUGUGGAGCCAAAACCACAUGGGUGCUGAGCAGGACAAGGCCACUGACCUUGGGGCAAACCCACUUAAGAGGACUUUCCUGUUCACUUACCUUCACUCAUUGUUCCAUUGAAAAGUCUCUGGCAUUGUCUACAAAUCCUUCCUUUACUUUCUACCUAGGAAAAGACAGGAACUCUGAUGAAGACCAGGUCAUUGUCAUGAUCAUCUUUUUGAGUCUAUCAGCCCUGUGUGCCCUCUGGGAAGCAGGACCAGCUAAUAGCACAGAUGUUACAAUACAACCAGAGUGAUGUCCUUGUUACUAUCAAGAUUGUUUCUACACCCCUCACCACCCCCCCACCCCAUAUCCUACAGGGAGGCAGGCAAGUGUGAAUACUUCUCCAGGCCCCUAGGAAGCUCCCAGAAUUGGGUCCAGUGUUUGUGAUGAUCACUUGUACCCUGGCUUCUCCAUAUGUUGUCACUAAAAAAUGGCAAAACCUUAUAAAUGCCUGAAAUAGGACUCUACUUAUUGAAUAGUUAUUAAUAGUUAUUAUUAUUACUAUUAUUAUUAUUAUUGAUCUUAAAAAUCCAGUUUGGGGGCUAGCAAGAUGGUUUAGAGAGUUAAGACACCUGCCACCAAACCUGGUGAUCUGAGUCUGAUCCUUGGAAUCCACAUGGUAGAGAGAGAGAACCAACUUCUACAAGUUGUUCUCUGACCUCCACAUUUACACACAUGUGUGCAUUCACACACACACACACACUCAUACAUAAGUAAAUAAAAUGCUAUUUGUUAUGGAAGCAACUGAGCUCUGCACACAUACAGUCUCUGGCUUGCUUUUACACCAUCAGCCAGGGUAGAGGGCUAAGUGACAUCCGUGGGCCAUGGCUAAGAACUAGGUCCCCAGCUUAACGUUCUGGGAAGUGGUGGAUCUUUAAGGGGUGGGGUUGACAAGGAGGUCCUGCGUCAUUGGUAGUGUGCCUGUAAGGAACACAGGGGGCUCUGAUCCCUUCUUCUGUUUCACAUCCUGGCUCUGAUGUGAAAACUUCCAUUCCUACUCACUCUUGACCUAAUGCCCUGUCGUCUCACUACAGACCCAGAGCAACAGGCCGACUGGCCACAGGCUGAAGCCUCCACACUUCGAGCCGAGAUGAUCUUUUCCACACUGUUGGACUGCACCCUUUGUCCCAGAGCUGGGUGACUCUGCACUGGCAGGGGAGAGCCGGCUGAAGCUGAAGUUGCCAGAGGAAACCAAACAAUUCUUAUUUACCAAACUGUCAAAAUCCUAUCAUUGCAAUUAAGGAGACGGGCAAUUAACUGUGUCUUAAUUACAGCAGCUGCCACUUCUUCUGAAUGCUGUAAUUUAUGAAGAGAAUGGGAGGAGACUCUAAAUUAAUGUGUGUCUUUAAACAACGAAAAACAUUGAUGAGGCCUGAAGGAAAUUGUCAGCGGUGGUCUUGGGGCCCCUCCCAGAAGGAGGCAUUGUUGGGAGAUGCCUCCAAGUGCAGUCUUGAUUUCCAGAGCCUUUGUUGCCUAACGGCUGUGUUUUCCAUAAAUGCCCAGUGACAUUGUUA